UUACGGCCGUAUCACGUUGAAAUACCAGUUCCCGUACGAUCACAGAAUGUAAGCAACGUCGAGCUUGAUCAGUACCUCGACGGGAGACCGCUUGGGAAUAGUUGC